rnacentral:rRNA from 1 species
GACGAACGCUGGCGGCGUGCCUAAUACAUGCAAGUCGAGCGCAGGAAGCUGACGGAACUCUUCGGAGGGAAGGCAGUGGAAUGAGCGGCGGACGGGUAAGUAACACGUAAGGAACCUGCCUCAAGGAUUGGGAUAACUCCGAGAAAUCGGAGCUAAUACCGGAUAGUUCAUCGGACCGCAUGGUCCGUUGAUGAAAGGCGCUUCGGCGUCACCUUGAGAUGGCCUUGCGGUGCAUUAGCUAGUUGGUGGGGUUACGGCCCACCAAGGCGACGAUGCAUAGCCGGCCUGAGAGGGUGAUCGGCCACACUGGGACUGAGACACGGCCCAGACUCCUACGGGAGGCAGCAGUAGGGAAUCUUCCACAAUGGACGAAAGUCUGAUGGAGCAACGCCGCGUGAGUGAUGAAGGUUUUCGGAUCGUAAAACUCUGUUGUAAGGGAAGAACACGUACGAGAGGGAAUGCUCGUACCUUGACGGUACCUUACGAGAAAGCCACGGCUAACUACGUGCCAGCAGCCGCAGUAAGAC